rnacentral:rRNA from 2 species
UCUGGAAACCAUAGAGCUGUGGCACCACCUGAUCCCAUUCCGAACUCAGAAGUGAAACACAGUAUCGCCGAUUGUAGUGUGGGGUCUCCCCAUGUGAGAGUAGGUCAUUUCCAGGC